CUAGGGGGCUGGGCCCCCACGUGGGGAGUGGUGGGCGGAGUCUGCCCAAACCGGAUGAGCUGAGGAGGGCGCCUUCACCUCAUCUCUAGUGCGACAUGGCUUCGCCAUGUGAGAGAGCUGCCCAAGCCCGAAUCACCGCUCUCUAGCCCAGGAACUUCCCCUUGAUGGGUCCCGAAGGUCUCGGAGCAUCGCCUCUCCCCUCAUUUAUUGGGUUUAGGUAAAGGCACAGAGAUGGUGAAUGCCAGCAGCCUUUAAGAGGCAAAUGACAUCUUCCCUGUUAAAUUUAACUCCCUUUCUCGCCUCGCCCGGACUGGUUCUUUCUGAGCCCUGAGUGAGUACAACGUAGGCCUGUGCAACCUCUAAUGAUUCCAGAAGUGAUGCCCACGGCUGCUGGGGUGGCGCUGAGUGUCUGCACUGCUCUUCUUGGCGACCGAACCAUCAGGUGGUGAGCACUGAGAAAGGGGGGCCCAGCCUUACGGCCCUGAAUUCCAGGCUCUGUCCCCUCAAAUGCCGAUUUCCACACAGGAUUCCAGCUGCACCUUCCGUCUACGCCCACAGCACUGACAGGGCCACUAAUCAUUGUCCUCCCCAUCGGUGCUGGCCAUGAGUGGAGCCAUGCCUUUUUUGUUCCUUAGAGAUUAAAAAUUUAAACAGAAACCAAAAA